UGCAGCUGGUCCUUCAGAUGGCGGAGUCGAGAUGGUCGAGGGAGAGAUGUUGGGAGUAGCAGCUGAUGGAAGUGGCGAUUCCGAAGGAGAAGAAGUAGGUGGUGCCGGAGGAGAAUUUCCGGUGGCGGGUGAAGCCGCUGGUGACACAGACGACGGAGACGGCGACAACGCCCUCCUAGGUGGAGUGGCCACCGGCGUGUGGGUGGGGGACAAAGCCGGCGACGAAGCUGGAGAUUGAGCCAUGGUGGAGCUCAACAACAAUGCAGCAACCAUCAUAAGAACAUAGGUACGACCCAUUUUUGAGAAAGAAAACACAGCAAAGGAGAGAAGGAAGUAGUUUUUGUCUUUUUUUGUUGUUGUUGUUGUUGUGAUGUGUGAGAAGAAAGAGGGAGAGUAAGAGGGUAUUUAUAGAGGAGAAAAAAGAAGAAGGGUGGUGUGGUAAGUAAAGUAACCGCGUGAAGAAGGAGACGAGGUUGGGUUAAAUGGAUCUGGGCCGAGUGAAGGUCACGCGGCACAGCUGUCUCCGAAUCUGAAACGUACGCGUGGUCAUCAAAAUAAAUAUUACCGUUGGAUAUAGGGAAUCUUCUGGUAGCGGUCGAAAACGGAAACUAAUAGAUAACUGAGUUGACUGCGUAAACAUCUUGUUUGUUUCUUUUGACUACUACAGUUGUUGUUGUACAGGAGAAGAACUAGCCGUUGUUAACAACUCGUUUAAGAAAAGAAGAAACAAAUUCUGAGUUGUUCACCAACUCAUGUUGUUGCUCUUGUACGUGUUCCACACUUGAAUAGGGCAUCAAUGUUCAAUGACAAUAAGCGCGUUUAACCCA
rnacentral:lncRNA from 1 species